rnacentral:rRNA from 1 species
UACGUAGGGUGCGAGCGUUGCCCGGAUUUAUUGGGCGUAAAGAGCGCGCAGGCGGUCGUGCAAGUCGCGUGUGAAAGCCCCCGGCUCAACUGGGGAGGGUCACGCGAUACUGCUCGACUCGAAGGCAGGAGAGGGAAGUGGAAUUCCCGGUGUAGUGGUGAAAUGCGUAGAUAUCGGGAGGAACACCAGUGGCGAAGGCGACUUCCUGGCCUGUUCUUGACGCUGAGGCGCGAAAGCUAGGGUAGCAAACGGG